CCCUCAUUCUUUCAUUUUAAUUCACCAAUUCAUCAAUAUCUCUCAAUCUCUCUCAAGCUCUCUUUCAAUCUUUCUAGUGCAAGUGCUUAAUCUAAAACCGGUGAAAGUAGUCGCCAAAAUACUACCCCUCCCCCGGCUCCCCGACCUAGAAAAGAUAAACAAGUUCAAAGUAGUAGACAACCUAGAAAUACUAAUGAAACCUUCGGAAUCCUUAAUAGUAAUCACCCGUGUUUUCAAUUUAGCGAUGUUGAUUUUCUACAUGAUGUAGCA
rnacentral:lncRNA from 1 species